rnacentral:rRNA from 1 species
UACGAAGGGGGCUAGCGUUGCUCGGAAUUACUGGGCGUAAAGCGUGCGUAGACGGUUAUGUAAGUCGGGUGUGAAAGCCCCGGGCUCAACCUGGGAAUUGCAUUCGAGACUGCAUUGCUGGAGUACGGAAGAGGAAGGCGGAAUUCCCGGUGUAGCGGUGAAAUGCGUAGAUAUCGGGAGGAACAUCAGUGGCGAAGGCGGCCUUCUGGUCCAGUACUGACACUCAAGUGCGAAAGCGUGGGGAGCAAACAGG